GUAGUUCAAUCUAAGGAUAAUUUUUAUGUUUUAGUCUCUGUUUUGCUGCUUGUACAUUUAUAAAGAAAAAAUAAAAAUCUAAAGCUAUUCAUGUCAUUAAUUUGAACUAGAAAUGUUUGGCAGUACCCUGUUCUUACUUAUCAUUGUUGGUGUGUUUUAUAUUAUUAGGUUAGGAGAAAUAUUAAGUUAUGACCCCCAUCUAGUCAUUCAUGUUUUAGUUGUUAAUUGAUCAUCUCUACAUCUAUUUCCCUAUCCAUUAAAUGCCCAUCAUGCACGGGAUUCGGUCCAUUUGCCGAAAAUCUAAAAAUAGCACUUGUUUUAAUUACGAAAGAUGUUCAUUUUCCUUGUUCUUUUGUCUAAUUGGAGAAGUCCUGCUUUCCCAUGAUCUAUUGCUUAUUUAGUAUCAAUUGUGUAGAUUGUUCCAUUUGUUGUGAUUACUUUGAUUUAAAUAUUAAGAUGAAGUUUUGGAAUCUUUCCCAUUCUAAUAUCUUCGUUUUUGUUUGCAUAUGAUGCCUUCCGAGUCCAUU
rnacentral:lncRNA from 1 species